AAAAAAAAUUCUAUGUGAAAAAUUUUACAUAUAAAUAAAUUUUUUAUGGUUUGAUUAUUUUAUUUUAAGUUCAUUUUACAUGUAAAUUUUAGUGUUAUAUAUUAAUUAUUUAAAUAAUAUUUAAUUUUUUUUACAGUAAUUAAUUUUAAAAAUUUAAGAAAUUAAGAUUUAGUAAUAUUUGAAUUAAUAACUAAUUUUGUGCCAGCAGUUGCGGUUAUACAAAAAUUAAUUUAAAAUUUUUUGGUUAUUAAUAAUUAAUUAAAAUUAUAAUUUAAAUUAAAAAUUAUUAGGUGAAAUUUUAAUUUUAUAUAAAAUUAUUUUAUAAUUAUGAUUUAGUAAAUUUUAUUAAAAACUAGGAUUAGAUACCCUAUUAUUAAAAAAUUAAUUUUAAUAAUACUAAAAUAGUAGGUAAUUUAUUGAAACUUAAAUAAUUUGGCGGUAUUUUAGUUUAUUUAGAGGAAUCUGUUUAAUAAUUGAUAAUCCACGAAUAAAUUUACUUAAUUUAAGAAUUUUGUAUAUCGUUGUUAAAAAAAUAUUUUUUAAUAAUAAUAAUAUUUAAAAAUUUAAAUUUAAAAUUAAAUCAGAUCAAGAUGCAGAUUAUAAUUAAGAAUGUAAUGGAUUACAAUAAAUUUAUUUACUGGAUUUUAAUAUGAAAAGAUUAAAUGAAAUUGGAUUUAAAUGUAAUUUUAUAAAAUUUUAUAAAAUGAUUUUAAAUUAAAAUAUGUACAUAUUGCCCGUCGCUUUCAUUUAUAAAUUGGAAUAAGUCGUAACAAAGUAGAGGUACUGGAAAGUGUUUCUAGAAAGAU
rnacentral:ncRNA from 1 species